GUGGGGAAUAUUGGACAAUGGGCGAAAGCCUGAUCCAGCCAUGCCGCGUGUGUGAAGAAGGUCUUCGGAUUGUAAAGCACUUUAAGUUGGGAGGAAGGGCAUUAACCUAAUACGUUAGUGUUUUGACGUUACCGACAGAAUAAGCACCGGCUAACUUCGUGCCAGCAGCCGCGGUAAUACGAAGGGUGCAAGCGUUAAUCGGAAUUACUGGGCGUAAAGCGCGCGUAGGUGGUUCGUUAAGUUGGAUGUGAAAGCCCCGGGCUCAACCUGGGAACUGCUUUCAAAACUGCUGAGCUAGAGUACGGUAGAGGGUGGUGGAAUUUCCUGUGUAGCGGUGAAAUGCGUAGAUAUAGGAAGGAACACCAGUGGCGAAGGCGACCACCUGGACUGAUACUGACACUGAGGUGCGAAAGCGUGGGGAGCAAACAGGAUUAGAUACCCUAGUAGUCC
rnacentral:rRNA from 1 species